rnacentral:tRNA from 3 species
GGUCCGUUGGUCAAGCGGCUAAGACGCCGCCCUCUCACGGCGGAAACAGGGGUUCGAUUCCCCUACGGACUA